UGACUUAAUUUGACGAGACAAAACAGUUUGCCAUUUUUGUUUUGAUUGAAAAUCUCUCUUCAAGUCUACCAACUGUUCAAUCUUUUUUCAUCAUGAAUAUUUGCUAUUUUUUGUUCAUUUUUUGAUUUUGUUUUUCUUUUGAAAACUGAGUUCAACACCAUCUUUAAGUACUACAAAUCAAGUUCAAUUGGAGCAAUGAGUUAAAACUGGCGUUAUAUCAGUUAAAUGAGCAAAAUUUAAGGAUAAUCAAGCAAAGUCUACAUGAACAUUGGAAAAGUGUGAAAUUAUUGCAACAUCAAUCAUUACUUUGGAUGCAAGCAAAGAGAUAACGUUGAAAUUUUCAACAUCAACAAAUCAUCAAAAAAGGAACUGUGCAAAAAUCUAAAUGGAGGAAGCUAAAGGAGUCUAAAGAAUUUAUCGAUCAUCAUCUUGAUGUUCACUUACCUUGUUUUAGUAUCACCAUACAUGAAUCAUUAAUGGUCUUUAAUUGAAACAAUAUAACCAUCACAAUUAAGGUUUUUAGUUAAAGUAUUAUCACUGAAAACACUGUGUAUCAAUGAAAAUGCGGACAUUUUCCUUCCUUCAAUUUGAUUCCCACACUUACACACACACUCUCAUCUCCACUCUUUCUCUCUUUCUACAUCUAUCCUCUCUCCCUAUUUUUUCACUCGUAUCCACACAACCUACAACCAUAUACACUAUGUAUACUCACUUGAUCAAUAGUAUUGAUCAACAAAACCAAAUUUCGAGUUUUCUCUCUUCUCUCUAUCUUUUUCCUCCCUGUGUUUGUACCAUACCUUUCAUUUCCCCUUUUUUGCUCACACUCUCACAACCAAAGUGGAACGCAUGAGCCUUAGUUUCAUCACAGCAGUCAUGUUCACUUCCAUACAAUUUCAUCAAGAACCAGAAAAGGAAAGAGAAGCCCUGAGGGGAAAUAACCAUCAAAAGCAAGAGUUUCAUGGAAGACAGGUGGAGACAGACAAAAUUUUCUAGGCUGUGUAAUACUCUUGCUCUUACAUGCAAUCUCCUAUCUGACCUUAUCGUGGAAGAUGAUCAGUUUUUACACAGACAGAGAGAACCAAAGAUUGAAGACACAAAUAUCUAAAUGGGAAAUACAUCGUGAGUUUCAGUGACCGCAAAAAAUGCUUUCAUUUGAUCAAUCUUUUUAAAUGGAUGAAAAUUACGUUACAAUUGCAGAGAAGUGAUUCCAUUAGUCGAUUCAGAUGAUUUUGUUUUUUAUUUUAUGAUGUUUCAAUCUCAUCCGAUAGUUUUUAGGCAAUUUCAGCAUAAUUUAUAAAUUUCGUAACUUUAAAUAGCAAAAUGCACAUCAUAUUAGCAUUAACACAUUCAAUUUUACAUUCAAUAUUAGCAAUACUAUUAGUUUAUUUUUUUAAACAGUAAAUGUGUCAACUUAAUUGAAAUCAUCAGAGGUUAGAAUGAAGAUUUUCAGCUCAAUGAUUGAAAAUGCAUUAGAAAAUGAAAAUUGAAUACAACCGAAUACAAUUUAUACUUAAUUGUCUAGAAUUUAAAGGCGUGAGGAAAUAAAAUUUAAAAUUUUAUAGAAUUUCAAUUUAUCCAAUCCCAAUAAUUCCAACUCCAGAUGGGGAUGGUCUUGGUAGCGGUGGUAACAUCAAAGUGCAUUCUUCACCUGAUCCAUCAUCAUCUGGACAAACACAGGUUCGUGAUCGAGGACCAGACUGUAAACAUAGAUGUUUACAGCCUCCAUUACGGAUUCUACAUGGAUUACUCAUCGCCGGACAAGCUUCGGCCAUAGCCACUAUACCAUGAAGCCGUCCAUUUGAUCCUUUAGGUAUCAUUAAGAUUUCUUCUUUGCCUCCAUUGCGACCAACUCUGUGGACAUUAUUCCUAUCAAAAGAGCAAAACGUUAAAAAAUUAUUAAUUAUUUAUCUAGAAUAUCGACUUUGACUUAUACAACUGGAGUUUGACUGAAAAUUAUAAAAACG